UACGUAGGGUGCAGGCGUUAAUCGGAAUUACUGGGCGUAAAGCGUGCGCAGGCGGCUCCUUAAGUCAGGUGUGAAAUCCCCGGGCUUAACCUGGGAACUGCGUUUGAAACUGGGGAGCUAGAGUGUAGAAGAGGGGGGUGGAAUUCCAGGUGUAGCAGUGAAAUGCGUAGAGAUCUGGAGGAACACCGAUGGCGAAGGCAGCCCCCUGGGCUAACACUGACGCUCAUGCACGAAAGCGUGGGGAGCAAACAGG
rnacentral:rRNA from 1 species